rnacentral:precursor_RNA from 8 species
GGCACUUUUUUGUGAUGACAAUUUAUUUUCAUACGUGACAAAGCUCCUGAAAAUAAGUCAGAUAUUUUCAGGAACUUUGUCACGUAUGAAAAUAAAUUGUGUGAAAUCACGUAUGAAAA